GUCUAUGGCCAUACCAUUCUGAACAUACCAGAACUCAUCUGAUCUUGGAAUCUAAGCAGAAGUGGGCAUGAUUAAUUCUUGGACAGGAGAAUUGGGCAUGAUUAAUUCUUGGAUGGGAGACC
rnacentral:rRNA from 1 species